UGUACAGAAAAGCCCAGCUUGGGUGGGAAUGAGCCAUUCUGAGUCUGUUGCUGGAUGUUGGUCUGCAGCACUGCAGUAGCAAUGAUUAUAUUGGAGAAACAUCGUAUGCAGGGGCAGCAGCUGUCUACCCACUAGAUUACCAGCACGGUUUCUGACUUGAGGCACUGACAAACCAAGGAAACAGUCGACAAAGAUCAGCAGUCAGCUGGUGCAUGACAACAAACAAGAGCAGGAAUUCCAGAGAGCAGCAGAUGGACUGGCUGCAGUGGUAAUCAAGAGAAGAAAACCAUAAUAUUGUCCACUUGAAACCUGGGGAAAGAGAAAAGUGCUUCACAUAUUGACCACUUCCCUCCUGCCUUCUCUGACGUUGUUCUUCUACACAGAGACUUUUACAGAGCUUCUCAUGGAAUGCUGUUUUAGCACCCAUCCUGGGCAUCCCUAGAGUCCUGAGCCCUAGAGACAGUGAAAAUGUGAACCCAGAUCCAGGUCUUUUUUAUUCCUAGCUCCUCUUGGGAUGGUUA